CCUACGGGAGGCAGCAGUAGGGAAUCUUUCACAAUGGGCGAAAGCCUGAUGGAGCAACGCCGCGUGCAGGAUGAAGGCCCUCGGGUUGUAAACUGCUUUUAUAAGCGAGAAAUAUGAUGGUAACUUAUGAAUAAGGAUCGGCUAACUACGUGCCAGCAGCCGCGGUCAUACGUAGGAUCCGAGCAUUAUCCGGAGUGACUGGGUGUAAAGAGUUGCGUAGGUGGCAUAAUAAGUAGCUAGUGAAAUCUGGUGGCUCAACCAUUCAGACUAUUAGCUAAACUGUUAAGCUCGAGACCGUUAGGGGUAACUGGAAUUUCUAGUGUAGGAGUGAAAUCCGUAGAUAUUAGAAGGAACACCAAUAGCGUAGGCAGGUUGCUGGGACGGUUCUGACACUAAGGCACGAAAGCGUAGGGAGCAAACGGGAUUAGAUACCCCAGUAGUC
rnacentral:rRNA from 1 species